rnacentral:rRNA from 1 species
UACCAUGCAGUCGAGCGCACUCUUCGGAGUGAGCGGCGGACGGGUUAGUAACGCGUGGGAACGUGCCCUUCUCUAAGGAAUAGCCACUGGAAACGGUGAGUAAUACCUUAUACGCCCUUCGGGGGAAAGAUUUAUCGGAGAAGGAUCGGCCCGCGUUAGAUUAGAUAGUUGGUGGGGUAAUGGCCUACCAAGUCUACGAUCUAUAGCUGGUUUUAGAGGAUGAUCAGCAACACUGGGACUGAGACACGGCCCAGACUCCUACGGGAGGCAGCAGUGGGGAAUCUUGGACAAUGGGCGCAAGCCUGAUCCAGCCAUGCCGCGUGAGUGAUGAAGGCCUUAGGGUCGUAAAGCUCUUUCGCCAGAGAUGAUAAUGACAGUAUCUGGUAAAGAAACCCCGGCUAACUCCGUGCCAGCAGCCGCGGUAAUACGGAGGGGGUUAGCGUUGUUCGGAAUUACUGGGCGUAAAGCGCACGUAGGCGGAUCAGAAAGUAUAGGGUGAAAUCCCAGGGCUCAACCCUGGAACUGCCUUGUAAACUCCUGGUCUUGAGUUCGAGAGAGGUGAGUGGAAUUCCGAGUGUAGAGGUGAAAUUCGUAGAUAUUCGGAGGAACACCAGUGGCGAAGGCGGCUCACUGGCUCGAUACUGACGCUGAGGUGCGAAAGUGUGGGGAGCAAACAGGAUUAGAUACCCUGGUAGUCCACACCGU